rnacentral:lncRNA from 1 species
GCGGAGGAGCGGCGCACAGCCUCCACCAGAGCAUCUGGGGGCUCAAGCCGCCAGAGAGCCCUGGAGACUAGGUAAUGGAAUUCCUAAACGGAUGAAGCACUGAGCUCCAGACCCCUGUCCAUGCCCAAGGACGGAAACAUUGUAUUUCUCCUUGGGACUUCAGGCUUUCCCCCUGCCUUUUCCUGUUCUUUCCAGCCGUUGCCUGGGCAGGAAGAGGCCUUUCCGAACAGACUUCUUUGUCUUCCACUUGGUCUGCCCCUCCAGGUCUCAUCCGGGACUGUUCUGUGCCUCACAGAUCAGAAACACUGUAGGGGUGACCAGCCCUCCAGCACUGUCUGGAACCAUCCUUGGUUUUAGCUCUGAAGGUUCCUGUAUCCUGAGAGAGGCCCUCAGGCCUGGGCCAACCUGCACCUUGCCCAGCUGCCCCCUUAGCCCUCAGAGCCAGGUUGAGGUACUGCCCAAGCAGCAGUCAUGUCAGGAUUCUCCUUCCACUUCCAACAAAGAGCUCUUUAUGUCUUAGCCAGCAAAGGACAAGGCUAGCAUGGGCAUUUACCCCACUGCCUCAGCUGCCUCACCAGGAAUGCAGGAGAUGCAGAUGCACGGAUGAGAAAGCUUUGCCUGUCCCAAUGCACAGCGAUGCCUGACGCUGCCUCAGAGUACCUGUGCUCUGCCCAUCCAGCUUCUGGUCAUCCGAGGCCCAGGUCCCAAAGGGGCGUGGGAGGAGAUGGUGGGAGAGACAGCUAGGCCCCAUGCUGGACACCUGAGAGGGAGACCCUGGCUUUGUGUUGAGAUGUACUGAUUCAUUUCCCAUUUUUACCUCAUUCCCCUCACGGAUUUGGUCCAGCAGAGUUAGAUGGCGCUGGUACCUUUUCCCUCCAUGACCUUUAAAGCUUAGACUGAUGGCCUCACAGAUAUUUUUCUUCGGGGACAAAGGAUGAGGAUUUUCCAUCCCGAACAACAUGAAGCAAAUGCGCAUGGAUCUCCUGAUUUUUCAUUCAGACAGUGAUUACAGAGUAAACAGCACUGGGUCAGAUCAGCGUGCACGGUCAAUGUGGCCUGCAUAUGGUGACUAUCCCUCCCUGCACCGUGUGGCAGCCACAUUGUCCUGACCCACUGGGAAGCUUGUCACUUCCAGAGCGGCCCAGGAGAUGCAUGUCGACCAUCCCCACUUCAGGCUCCCACGUGGCAGGCUGCAGACCCCUGGCCAGGCUUUUUUUCUGAAACCUUUAGUGGAUUUUCCUUGAGGAUGACCGACAGAAUGAUGGUGAUGUAUUCUAGUCUCAUGGUCAGGCCUGCAAUCACAUUUCGAAGCAGCCUCCAGAUCCCUGCUCAGCAUUCUGUGACUGACGCGGGUGGAGGCAUUACAGUCCAGACAGAGUCAGUGCUAAUCAGAACAGGAUGCCCUUUAGCUUCCUCGGGAAAGCUUUAUCUCUUUAGCAGGAGCUAUCUGCAUUUUUAAAGCCACAGCCUGUUGGAAAGAGCUCCGAACCACAAAAAUGUACAGCAGGGGUAAGCAGAGUUCCUAGCCAUUAACCACCUCCAGGCAGUUAAUCAUUUCAGUUUAGAAGAACCCACGUUCGCUUCAAGAGCAAGUAUAUUCUGUUGGAAACCUACUAUGUUGGGCUCUUUCGAAAGCUAGUUCUGAUUCUCACAAUGCCCUGCUGAGCGGACGGGAGUCCCCCGUUGUAUGGACAAGCAGAUGAAGCUCAAUGAAUUAGUUGACUGCUCUAAGGUCUCAUGGUUGAUCUUGGGCACAGCUGGGGUUCGAAGCCCGUUCUUUCUGGCUCAGAGUCCUGUGCUCUUCUCAGCAGGAUGUGACGCUACCUCCCCCACUGCCAUUUUUCUGUGUGAUUAUAUGGGACCCAAGCUCCAGGUAAAUCUGAUUGUUAAGAAAAAGCCCCAAUAUACACAGAGGCACAAGAAAAAGGAAUAGAUCUCACCCUGUUGGUGAAGCCAAUGCGUGAACCUAAUGUGCAGAAAGACACCACUGACGUCUUCCCGGGCCCCUGCCUCGCAUCCUUGCCUUGCUGACUAUUUGGCCCUGGCCUAGAAAAUACAGUGCUCAUUCUCAGACGUGUAUGUGCAAGUGUUUGUCUCUCCAGCCAAGCUGUCCUCAGGUCCUUAGCCGUCUGCGUGUUCCCCAGCUCUCUACAAACAGCUAUCCUGGAAUAGCUAAAACUGAGAUUUUAAUAAUGUGUGCUUAAAGCAUUUAUGCUAAAAAAAACUUGCCAGUUCUGGCCAUUUCCAGUAACAAUAUGUGCUCUCAUCACUGCUAAGAGUCUGGCAAUGAGCAGAUGAUGCUACUGAAAGCAAGUGAAGACAGUGAGACAGGGCUCAAUCCAUGCCAUGCCUCUGAGAGCCUAGGAGUCAUGGCACAGCGCCAAGAAUACCCCUUCAACAUGACAAGCAGGACUCAGUUUCCCCCUUUUGAGCAUAUCAAGGAAAAACAUAUGUAAGGGCCUGCGCAGUGACUCACGACUGCAAUCCCAGCACUUUGGGAGGCCGAGGCGGAAGGAUUGCUUGAGGCCAGGGUUUGAGACCAGCCUGGGCAGUACAGCUGGACCCUGUCUGUACAAAAAAUUUAAAAAAAUAAAUA